GGCCCGCUAGCUCAAUAUGGCAGAGCAGCUGACUCUUAAUCAGUUGGUUCAAGGUUCGAGUCCUUGGCGGGUCA
rnacentral:tRNA from 1 species